rnacentral:lncRNA from 1 species
UUUUUUUUUUUUUUUUUUUUUUUUUUGCUGCUCUGGUGGGGUCAGGCUUCCUCCGCUCCACCGCCCCGCGCGCAGUAGGCUUUGCUGGGCUUCAAAAUGCAGGGCGAGAGGAUGUAAGCCUUUUAUUGUCAGUUAAAGAGGAUUAAACUUUGCUCAGUGUUAGCAGAAAAUGAUCAAUCUCCAGAAAUUAAUUUAGAGGUCAGAGUGGACUUUAAAGUGGUACUCCACACUACUCCAGUGUGUCACUUGCCAUGUGGAGAGACUGAGUCGCCUUGCAGAACACAGAUGGCUUACAUUCCGUGGUUUUACUUUUAUGUACAGUUUUUUUUACUUGUUCAGGGUCGUCCCAUGAAGAAUAAGCUUCUUUUGAAACAACAAAUGUCUAGGUACAUGGUAAACAUUUAGUAAAUACAGUUAACACUUGCUAACCUAUCCUGGGUCAGAGUUCAACCGUAUUUUUUUAGCAUCUGUAGAUGGCACUGUAUUGUUUUUACAGGGGAUACAUAUGUAGUAAGGCAGUGUCUGCUCUAGAAAGCUUAGUUUAGUGGGCAUGUGGGGAGGGUUAGGUUUUUCACAGAGUGCCAGGUGUACCCUAAAUCCUUGAGGUUAAAUAGACAUAUCUUCCUAGAGUGUUGGUCAAAAAGCAUAUUUAAGUAUUAAAACAGUCUAAUAAUAACACUGAAAAAUUCACAUUAAAAUUUAAUUUUGGGGUUCCUGUUGUGGCUCAGUGGUAACAAACCUGACCAGGAUCCAUGAGGAUGCGGGUUCGAUCCCUAGCCUCACUCAGUGGGUUAAAGAUCCGGGGUUGCUGUGAUCUGUGGUGUAGGUCGCAGAUAUAGCUCAGACCCCACAUUGCUGUGGCUGUGGCAUAGGCUGGCAGCUAAAGCUCGGAUCCAACCCCUAGCAUAGGAAGUUCCGUGGGCAGUGGGUGUGGCCCUAAAAAAAAAUUAAUAUUCCAGGCAGCCUAUUGUGACAGCCCUGGGGCUUUCCGUUCAUUUUUUCUGUAUAAUUAGAUAUACUUCUAAUGGAAAAGUUUGAGAAGCAUAGAAAACACAGCUUUUAUCAUAUGAGGCAAAGUCUGGUCAGCAUUAAAAUAAAACUGUUAAUAAAAGUGGUAUAGGGGUUCAAAGGAAGGUUCAGAGUCCCUGCCAAAACAGAAACAAAAACAAAAAACUUUGUGAUGGAGGUGAGUAUUUGAACAGCUUUAAAGAAUUUAGAAGUUUGCCAGGUAAAGGUGAAGGAAGAAAGGGUAUUCUAGGUGAUGGGGUCAGCAUGAAGGCCAAAAAAAUAGAAUUGAGUCCAGAACCUGGAGGGCUUUGAAUGCCAGGAUAAAGAAGUGGCGGCAUUCCCGUUGUGGCUCAGCGGUAACCAACAUGACUAGUAUCCACGCGGACGAGGGUCUAGUCCCUGGCCUCACUCAGAGGGUUAAGGUUCCUGUGUUGCCAUGAGCUUUGGUAUAGGUCACAGAUGCAGCAUGGAUCCUGAGUUGCUGUGGCUGUGGUGUAGGCUGGCAGCUAUAGCUCUGAUUCAACCCCUAGCCUGGGGAAUUUCCAUAUGCUGCAGGUAUGGCCCUAAAAAUAAAAAAUGAAAAACAAAACAAAAAAUAAGUGAAUAAUUUAAUAAAACAGGAGAGAGAUUUCAGGGUUUUAGACCAGAGAUCGCAGAUCAGAACAGUUCAUUAGGAAGAUUAACCUAGUGGUAAUGAAUAAAAAUCAUUUAGAAUUCUAGGUAGAGAGAUACUAGACAGUCCAGCCAGGAGUCCAUUGUGAUACUCUUAAGUGGGAGAUAGGAUUUAAACUAGAAACAUGGUAGUUUAGAAUAGAAAACAAUAAACCUAAUUGAGAGAGUCUACGGCAAUGGAAUCUACUAGGUUAGCAGAUGAUUGAACAUAGGGGCUGAGGAGGCCAUGUGCCUUAAGGUGUAGAAACAAUGAACUUAAAAAUAGAAGUCAAGUUGGAAAUGGAAUUGGAAGCAGACGAAAAUGAGGUGUUCAAUUUUGAAAACAUUGACUUUUUAAAAGCCAGUGAGCCAUUUGGUGGCGAUAUCCAGGCACUGAAGAUUUAGGAUAAAUGACCUCUGAGAUUUCUACAACCGAAAUUUUAGACUUCUAGGAAAUACAGAUCUGGAGUUUGGGAUAAAAGUAGAAGCCAAAUGUGGGAGUUCCCGUUUUGGUUCAGGGAUUAAAAACCUGGCUAUUAUCCAUGAGGAUGUGGGUUUUAUCAGUGGGUUAAGGAUCCAGCAUUGCUGCAAGCCGCAGUGUAGGUCGAGGAUGUGGCUCAGAUCUGGCAUUGCUGUGGCUGUGGCGUAAGCUGCCAGCUGCAACUUCUAUUCAACUCCUAGCCUGGGAACUUCCAUAUGUGUGCAGGUGUGGCCCUAAAAAGGAAAAAAAAAAAAAAAAAAAAAGAAGCCAAAUGUGAAUAAAAUUUAGGCUUCUUCACAUAAAUGUAAAUAUGGUGAUAGCGAUAUAACAAUAAAGCACAGAAAGGAAUAAGGAUAACCAGUUGAAGAAGAGCAGCAGAGGACUUUCUUUUUUGGAGAGUAGGCAAGGCUCAAGCAUGAAAAGGGGAAGGGACAAGUUGAGAGAGAAAAAUUAAAAAUGUAAUUAUCUACUUUAAAGAGGAGAUAAAGAAUGUAAGUUUUAGGGAGUUCCCGUCCUGGCUCAGUGGUUAACAAAUCUGACUAGGAACCAUCAGGUUGCAGGUUCGAUCCCUGGCCUUGCUCAGUGGGUUAAGGAUCCAGUGUUGCCAUGAGCUGUGGUGUAGCUUGCAGAUGGGGCUCGGGUCCCGUGUUGCUAUGGCUGUGGUGUAGGCUGGUGGCUACAGCUCCAAUUCAAUCCUUAGCCUGGGAACCUCCAUAUGCCACAGGUGUGGCAUGGGAGUGGCCCUAGAAAAGGCAAAAAGACAAAAAAAAAAAAAAAAAAAAGAGGAUGUAAGUUUUAGAGGAGAUCAUUAGAUCAAGGGGAGAGGCAGACAGGUUGGCUCUGACAACUGAAAAGGGAGAAUGGGAGGGGAAAUGUACAGAGAGACUUGGAAACAGCUAGACAUUUAGGGAAGUGACGUUGAAUGGACUUGCUUUUCUGAGGUUGAUCUUUUGAGAAUAGAAAAGAUGAUGGGGAAUUCCCUUUGUGGCUCAGCGGAAAACGAAUCUGACUAGCAUCCUUGAGGAAACAGGUUGGAUCCCUGGCCCUGACCAGUGGGUUAAAAAUCUGGUGUUGCCGUGAGCUGUGGUGUAGAUCGUAGACAUGGCUUGGAUCUAGCAUUGCUGUGGCUGUGGUGUAGGCCAACAGCUACAGCUCUGAUUUGACCCCUAGCCUGAGAACCUCUGUAUGCCACAAG